GGAGUUCGAGAAAGUUUCGGCAUCGCUUUUUCGAGCGGGUCGGCGUGGAAUGGUUAUCUAGAUAACUGGUCGCCGGUUCGAAUCCGGCCGGCUCCA
rnacentral:tRNA from 1 species